UACGUAGGGACCGAGCGUUGUCCGGAUUCAUUGGGCGUAAAGAGCUCGUAGGUGGCUCUGUAAGUCGGAGGUGAAAGACCACGGCUCAACCGUGGAAACGCCUUCGAAACUGUGGAGCUUGAGGCUGGGAGAGGGAAUCGGAGUUCCUGGUGUAGCGGUGAAAUGCGUAGAUAUCAGGAGGAACACCGGUGGCGAAGGCGGAUCCUGGACCAGUUCUGACACUGAGGAGCGAAAGCUAGGGGAGCAAACAGG
rnacentral:rRNA from 1 species